CCAGUGAGCCUAGCGGGUGGGACAUACUCCCCACUGCAUGCUCCGGAGCCAAAGUGAAGUGAGCCUGAAGAUGGCAGCGCCUGAGGAACCCAAACCCAAAAAACUGAAGGUGGAAGCGUCGGGGGCUCUGAGGAGACCACCAGGAGACCUGCGCUUGAUUCUGGCCAUUCUUUCUGCUCAGCUACCACCUGUCAGUGGAGGCUUACGUGCUGCUAUGCUGCUGAAGGGGUUUCAGCGGAGCUGCCAGACUUAAGAUGGACUAGGAGGAAAGGCCUGGAAAUCCACUUCUGAAAAUCAGCCCAUGCACACUCUGUGGAUCACAAAGUCCAAUCUGCAACUGAUAAGGGGAAUGGGGCAGCACCAGGCAGUGUUUUGUUCUGUAUGGGGUCAACAUGAACUGGAGGCCAACUCAACGGCAGCUAGCAACAAGUAGGGAGCUCACAUUGUACACUCAGGACCUCUGAUUCACAUUUCUUGCUAUUUUUAUUGUGCUGUGAAGAUUAAAAAAUAGGAGCUGUCAAAAGUGAUUUCUGUAUGUGCUAAGGAAGCACAUUAUUUAAGGAAACUGUGACAGUGUGUUUGGGUGGAUAUUUUUUUGGGUGGAUAUUUAUCGUUCAAGUUUUUUCCCAUGUGGUAAGAAUUUAUUGAUAAGCAGCUUUGUUCAUAUCAAAACCCCCUGUUGAUGCUGUCAGUGAGCAUUGGACUGCUAAAGUCAGUGAUUCAAAACCAACAGCCACUCUUCAGGAGCAAG